CUUCUUAUCCACCCAUCACCGAACGGACAAAAUUACUGUUCUGACCCUUAAGCCAAACUAAAUCCCGAUUUGACCUCGUUCCGAAUUUUUUUUUGUUUCUGACCUUUUUCGGUGACGCCAAGGUCCCUGGCGUCUGGGUUACGAAGCAGACGCCGGGGUCCCUGACGUCUGGCCCCUGGCCCGCACUGCCCGCCUGCCCGUUGACCUGCUGACGUGGCAAAGGGGCCAGACGCCAGGGACCGUGGCGUCUGGCCCCGGUAAGUGGAUAACCCCACCGGGAGAGUGUGUGGGUCCCACCCCACACAUUUUCCCCAAUCCAGCCCGAGCUUGAAGAAGAGCUGCUGCCUCCCCACUCUCUCUCACCCCUCAAGCUCCCCCCUCAAAUCCUCUCCAAAAGGCAUGGCUUCAUCCGGUUCCAGGACGAGGCCACCGUGCGCGGACCAAGAGGACAUGCCGAAGACGUGGUUGGAGGCCAGUUUGGACAAGAAGAAGGAGAAGGAUGUGCCCACACCACCAUGUUGGUGUGGUGAUGUUUGCAAGCUGAAGGUGUCCACUGACCGCAACAAGUCAUGGACAGAAGGUAGAAGGUUUUUCGUGUGUCCCAACUAUGCACAUGAUCGUCGAAGGCCAACUAACGCAUAUGACAUACCACCGUCCCCUCCUCCACUUUGCAAGUACUUCACUUGGAUAGAUCACGAGGUACCAAAAGAUAUCCAAGAGGACCAACGUGCAGAUUGGUUACGGAGGCAGCGCCUAUUCGAGGAGUCCUAUGCACGGGGAUUGGAGCGGGAGCGUCGUGAGAAGGAGGUUAACCUCCAUUAACCUACACACAAAAUGUAUCCACCUAGUCCAACGGUCGCCAAUAACAGACCGUCUAAACUGUAUGUUAAGCGGGAUAGUACCCAACACUGUAGCAACGGAAACCUCUUUCCGUUGCGCAAUGUUGUAAAGGGAAGGAUACUGUAAGGCCAGCGGCGAAUCUCCUAACCAAGUAUCCUCCCAAAAUCGAGUA